UAUCUCCUGCAGCGUUCGAGCAGUGCUGGGUGUUUCCUGAACCUGCUAUUACCCCGGAAACAGAUGCCUAGUAAUGGUGAGCAUGCCUGUUUACGACGGGAAGCCUGAUUUACUGGCUGAGUUUCCACUUGAACCUCUGGUUCAAGGACGAAAGUACGAGACGGCGCAGGCGGGAGAUAC
rnacentral:other from 1 species